UCUUAUGAUAUAUUUUGGGGAUGUGGCCUUGCCCUCUGAGGAGCCCUCAGUCUAUUGUGACACAAGAGAAGUAAAUUUCUGGGGGUUGGAUAAAGGGGAAAGCAAAGAGAAGCCCUCAAAGUGAGGAGGGCUGUGGUUUUGCUGCCUGAAACUCAUUCACCAUGCGAGCACUGGGGCUCCAGAGGGAUAAGGGCUAUACAGCAUUCCCAUGGGGCAGAGAUCCUCAUGUCUGUUUUACAGACAAGGAAAGUGAGGCUCAGAGGAAUUAAGUUUGCUAGCUCGAGGUGGAGCCAGAACUUGAACCCAGGCUUUAUGAUAGGCAGAGAUCAAGCCCUUGGUUCAUCAUCAAGGCUGCCUGCUGUGGUCAAGGGCUAGCUUGGUAUAGCUCCCCUCUUGGCCUGACAUUCUAGGGGCUGCCUCUGGUGACCAGCAAUAAGUGCUGUUCCGGGCUCAACUGAAGCUGGGGUUGCUCCAGAAAGAGAACUACGAGAGCUCAUUCCUGCCUCCACUUAAUGCCAGCAAACUACCUUUGGGCAUCCCAUGGCUCUCUGUGGAUCCUGACUACUUGCUGGUGUGGUCACCUGUUCCUUGUCAACAUUGCCACAUGCCACUGGCCAUCUGGACAUCCUCCACCACCCACAGCAGGUCCACUCCACCAACCUGCCCUCCCACAGUGCCAGCCUUGACACAUGGGCACAACUUGCACCCAGCUCUUGACCAAAACCAGCUGCUCUGCCAAGACACAAAAGGGACCCCUGCCGGAGUGAGGUCAUCUCGCUCUAGGACACAGUGUCCAGCUCAGACAGAACACCACCCACCAGCUUCCUGCUGAAGCUAUUCAUUGCCCAGGCUUCCAGAGACCCAAUUCCCUGGAGUUCCAGUGCGGGGGCGAACCCGGCAGCAGAAAGAAAAGACUCUGUGACCCGUGCCUAAAAAUAAAAAUAUUAUUCAAUUUCA